UACGAAGGGGGCUAGCGUUGUUCGGAUUUACUGGGCGUAAAGCGCACGUAGGCGGAUUGGUCAGUUAGGGGUGAAAGCCCAGGGCUCAACCCUGGAACUGCCUUUAAUACUGCUGGUCUGGAGUCCGAGAGAGGUGAGUGGAAUUCCGAGUGUAGAGGUGAAAUUCGUAGAUAUUCGGAGGAACACCAGUGGCGAAGGCGGCUCACUGGCUCGGUACUGACGCUGAGGUGCGAAAGCGUGGGGAGCAAACAGG
rnacentral:rRNA from 1 species